UACGUAGGGAGCAAGCGUUGUCCGGAAUCAUUGGGCGUAAAGCGCGCGUAGGUGGCCUCAUAAGUCCGCUGUGAAAGUCAAAGGCUCAACCUUUGAAAGCCGGUGGAUACUGUGAGGCUAGAGUACGGAAGAGGCGAGUGGAAUUCCUGGUGUAGCGGUGGAAUGCGCAGAUAUCAGGAGGAACACCCGUGGCGAAGGCGGCUCCCUGGUCCGUCCCUGACGCUGAGACGCGAAAGCGCGGGGAGCAAACAGG
rnacentral:rRNA from 1 species